AUUGAACGCUGGCGGCAUGCUUUACACACGCAAGUCGAACGGCAGCGCGGGCUUCGGCCUGGCGGCGAGUGGCGAACGGGUGAGUAAUACAUCGGAACGUGCCCAGUAGUGGGGGAUAGCUCGGCGAAAGCCGGAUUAAUACCGCAUACGACCUGAGGGUGAAAGCGGGGGAUCUUCGGACCUCGCGCUAUUGGAGCGGCCGAUGGCAGAUUAGCUAGUUGGUGGGGUAAAGGCCUACCAAGGCGACGAUCUGUAGCUGGUCUGAGAGGACGACCAGCCACACUGGGACUGAGACACGGCCCAGACUCCUACGGGAGGCAGCAGUGGGGAAUUUUGGACAAUGGGCGAAAGCCUGAUCCAGCAAUGCCGCGUGUGUGAUGAAGGCCUUCGGGUUGUAAAGCACUUUUGGCGGGAACGAAAAGGACUGUGCCAAUACCACGGUUCGAUGACGGUACCCGCAGAAUAAGCACCGGCUAACUACGUG
rnacentral:rRNA from 1 species